GACGUAGGGCGCAAGCGUUGUCCGGAUUUAUUGGGCGUAAAGAGCUCGUAGGCGGUCUGUCACGUCGGCUGUGAAAUCCCGAGGCUCAACCUCGGGUCUGCAGUCGAUACGGGCAAACUAGAGUAUUGCAGGGGAGACUGGAAUUCCUGGUGUAGCGGUGAAAUGCGCAGAUAUCAGGAGGAACACCGGUGGCGAAGGCGGGUCUCUGGGCAAUAACUGACGCUGAGGAGCGAAAGCGUGGGGAGCGAACAGG
rnacentral:rRNA from 1 species